ACGGGGGGCCUACGGGAGGCAGCAGUAGGGAAUCUUCCACAAUGGGCGCAAGCCUGAUGGAGCAACACCGCGUGAGUGAAGAAGGGUUUCGGCUCGUAAAACUCUGUUGUUGAAGAAGAACGUGCAUGAGAGUAACUGUUCAUGCAGUGACGGUAUUCAACCAGAAAGUCACGGCUAACUACGUGCCAGCAGCCGCGGUAAU
rnacentral:rRNA from 1 species